rnacentral:ncRNA from 2 species
CAGAAUAAUACAAAUUUAGGCACUUAGUCACAAACUGAGUAACAAGGGAAACAAGUGAAAUUCUUGUGCUGCCCCCGCAACGGUAAAUUGAUCAAUGUAAAACCUUUAGGUUUUACAUUGAUCAACAGCCCGGAGACCGGCCUAAAUUUUUAACUUAGU